rnacentral:misc_RNA from 1 species
AAAAAAAAAAAAAAAAAAACAUUUAAAAGAACUCAGUACAAAGUGAUAUAAAAGAAAUUCUAGAGCACAAAAAAUUUCAAAAAAUCCAACAUAAUGAGAUAUAAGCGCAACAUUGCCAAAAAUCUUAUAGCUGAUAAUAAAAAAAAUAACAGUAAAGGAAUGCGGUAUCAGAUAAAGGAUACAAAAUUAAACCCUCUUUAGCACCCUUCCCAAUCCCCAAAAAUAAAUAAAUAAAACUGUUAAUUUCAAAACCAUAGCCCUAAACAUAGCAAUCCCCAUUACACAGGCAUCAUAAGGCAACCAAAAACCAACAAGCGCCAAAUAAACCAAACCAAAUUGACAUAAAAUUGCAGCCUUUACACCGAAACAAUCAAUAAAUCCUCACAAUCAAACACAAUUAUCAUCCAUGGCAACCAAAAAUCCCUUAAAAAUAUAUACCCUGGUAGUGGGACCCUUAGAAGG